GAUGAAGAACGCAGCGAAAUGCGAUACUUGGUGUGAAUUGCAGAAUCCCGUGAACCAUCGAGUCUUUGAACGCAAGUUGCGCCCGAAGCCAUUAGGCCGAGGGCACGCCUGCCUGGGCGUCACACGUCGUUGCCCCCCCAUCUACUCCUUCGGGAUUGCGGGGGGCGGAUGAUGGCCUCCCGUGCGCCUUGCCGCGCGGUUGGCAUAAAUGCCAAGUCCUCGGCGACGCACGCCACGACAAUCGGUGGUUGCGAAACCUCGGUUGCCCGUCGUGUGCGGUCGUCGCGCAUCGAGGGCUCGAAAAAAUUGCCGGGUUCCGGCUCGGCUUUCAACGCGACCCCAGGUCAGGCGGGGUUACCCGCUGAAUUUAAGCAUAUCAAUAAGCGGAGGA
rnacentral:misc_RNA from 1 species